rnacentral:rRNA from 1 species
AGUGAACGCUGGCGGUAGGCCUAACACAUGCAAGUCGAACGGCAGCACAGUAAGAGCUUGCUCUUACGGGUGGCGAGUGGCGGACGGGUGAGGAAUACAUCGGAAUCUACUUUUUCGUGGGGGAUAACGUAGGGAAACUUACGCUAAUACCGCAUACGACCUACAGGUGAAAGCAGGGGAUCUUCGGACCUUGCGCGAUUGAAUGAGCCGAUGUCGGAUUAGCUAGUUGGCGGGGUAAAGGCCCACCAAGGCGACGAUCCGUAGCUGGUCUGAGAGGAUGAUCAGCCACACUGGAACUGAGACACGGUCCAGACUCCUACGGGAGGCAGCAGUGGGGAAUAUUGGACAAUGGGCGCAAGCCUGAUCCAGCCAUACCGCGUGGGUGAAGAAGGCCUUCGGGUUGUAAAGCCCUUUUGUUGGGAAAGAAAAGCAGCAGGUUAAUACCCCGCUGUUCUGACGGUACCCAAAGAAUAGGCACCGGCUAACUUCGUG